GCUUACGGCCAUACCAACCUGGCUAUGCCCGAUCUCCUUUGAUCUCGGAAGCUAAGCAGGUUUGGGCCUGGUUAGUACUUGGAUGGGAGACCGCCUGGGAAUACCAGGUGCUGUAAGCU
ensembl:rRNA 5S_rRNA 5S ribosomal RNA